UUAAACGGCCGCGGGAUCCUCCACCGUGCAAAGGUAGCAUAAUCACUUGUCCCCUAAAUAGUGACUAGUAUGAAUGGCCAAAUGAAGAUUUUACUGUCUCUUAUAGCCAAUCUAUGAAACUAAACUAUCAGUACAAAAACUGAUAUAUUAACAUAAGACGAAAAGACCCUGUGGAACUUCAAGCACAACCCAACACAAUGGACCCCUGCUUUUAGUUGGGGCAACUUUGGAAAUAAGCAAAACUUCCAAUUCAAAUAAAGAUUAACACAUCUAUAUAAUAUAAUACACCGACCCAACACACGUUGAUCAAAGAACCAAGCUACCCCAGGGAUAACAGCGCCAUCCCCUCUUAGAGCCCAAAUCGACGAGCGGGGUUUACGACCUCGAUGUUGGAUCAGGGCCCCCAAACAGUGCAACAGCUGUUAAUGGUUUGUUUGUUCAACAAUUAAAGCCCU
rnacentral:rRNA from 1 species